UUUCAGGCUUACCCGGGAGGAUUGAGCUGGAUUCCUUUCGACUGGGGAAAAUGACAAGGCUCCGACCCAAAAGGGGGGCAAAGAGGGGUUUCCCCAGCAAAGGUGAAGGGUUAGGUUUGGGGGUUUCCAAGGGUGGCAGAGAACAAGCCAUGUUUCCUGGUGGAAUCUGGGAGGUGCCAGACCUCUGCUGAGGUGGCCUGCGGAUGCAGGAGGAGGCUACUCUCAGCGAGCUGUGGACCUAGGCUCCUCAAGGGCAUCCCUAUUCUCACGGUUAUCUGGGCUGCCCGUGGACCAUCCCAGUCUUGGCAACAGGCAACUUAGAAACAAUUCCAUGAUGGAAGGCUGGAGGUCUUUCCUGGUUUAUCACACUGUAUUGCUCCUGCUGCUCCACCUGUCAGUCUCCUCCCUUGAACAUGAGUGCCUGGAAGGCAGGGACUGUAGGUGCUCAAUAAAGGCUUAUGGAGUGCAUGCUGGGAGAAGGCUGGGGCAGCCUCAUCCAGGAGCAUGUCACACUAUUUCUCCCUGUUCAGAAUGCUAUUAUAAACUCCAAUUGAUCUUGCUAUGUUUUCAUUUCUAUGUCAUUACCACAAAUAUGUACCCAAACCUUGUUUUUGAAAGAAAAAACAUCUCUUCCCUAAACCACCUGGGAUGGCCCAUGAUUUGUACCUUCA
rnacentral:lncRNA from 1 species